UUGUAGGCAUGGGUUUU
rnacentral:miRNA from 1 species